rnacentral:misc_RNA from 1 species
UCCGGUUUGGCACCGGCAGUCCUCCCAGAGUCCUCGGCAUGACCCGGUAGCAACUGGGAGCGGGGGUUGCGCUCGUUGCGGGACUUAACCCAACAUCUCACGACACGAGCUGACGACAACCAUGCAGCACCUCUGCUGGCUCCCUUGCGGGUCCCCCUCUGUUUCCAGAGGAGUACCACCAGUAGUUCAAGCCCAGGUAAGGUUCUUCGCGUUGCGUCGAAUUAAACCACAUGCUCCACCGCUUGUGCGGGCCCCCGUCAAUUCCUUUGAGUUUCAACCUUGCGGCCGUACUCCCCAGGCGGUUCACUUAAUGCGUUAGCUUCGGCGCGGAAGGGGUCGAUACCUCCCACACCUAGUGAACAUCGUUUAGGGCUAGGACUAC